rnacentral:rRNA from 1 species
UUGAGACUUCGGUGGAUUUGAUCUAUUUCUAGUGGCGGACGGGUGAGUAACGCGUGGGUAACCUGCCUUAUACAGGGGGAUAACAGUCAGAAAUGGCUGCUAAUACCGCAUAAGCGCACAGAGCUGCAUGGCUCAGUGUGAAAAACUCCGGUGGUAUAAGAUGGACCCGCGUUGGAUUAGCUAGUUGGCAGGGCAGCGGCCUACCAAGGCGACGAUCCAUAGCCGGCCUGAGAGGGUGAACGGCCACAUUGGGACUGAGACACGGCCCAGACUCCUACGGGAGGCAGCAGUGGGGAAUAUUGCACAAUGGGGGAAACCCUGAUGCAGCGACGCCGCGUGAAGGAAGAAGUAUCUCGGUAUGUAAACUUCUAUCAGCAGGGAAGAUAAUGACGGUACCUGACUAAGAAGCCCCGGCUAACUACGUGCCAGCAGCCGCGGUAAUACGUAGGGGGCAAGCGUUAUCCGGAUUUACUGGGUGUAAAGGGAGCGUAGACGGCGCAGCAAGUCUGAUGUGAAAGGCAGGGGCUUAACCCCUGGACUGCAUUGGAAACUGCUGUGCUUGAGUGCCGGAGGGGUAAGCGGAAUUCCUAGUGUAGCGGU